UGCUGACCUGCCCCUGCCCCCUCUCUGCCCAGGGCUCCCGGGAGCCGGGGGACACGCUGCCCCGGAAACUGAAGCA